UACGGAGGGUGCAAGCAUUAAUCGGAAUUAUUGGGCGUAAAGGGCGCGUAGGCGGAAAUAUAAGUCAGAUGUGAAAUCCCGGGGCUCAACCCCGGAACCGCAUUUGAAACUGCAUUUCUCGAGGAUAGGAGGAGAAAAUGGAAUUCCACAAGUAGCGGUAAAAUGCGUAGAUAUGUGGAAGAACACCAGUGGCGAAGGCGAUUUUCUAUCUUAUUCCUGACGCUGAGGCGCGAAAGCAAGGGGAUCAAACAGG
rnacentral:rRNA from 1 species